AAGCCUCGGUAUUUCAUUUCCAAAGAUAAAACCAGUCCCCUAAUCUCUCGUGGGUGAAGAAAACACAAACUUUCCUAAAAAAAACUAAUAAUAAGAAAACCCCAAAGACUUAACCUUCCCUCAUUCUUCCCUUCUUUUGUUGCGUCAAUGGAACUAUUUUCAACAAUGGACCUGUUAAAGUAAAUCCUCUAUUCUUGUCUUCACUUCGUUACCCCGGCCCAUCAUCUUCUGAGUUCUUUGAAGCUUUGUUAACCCGUCUCCUUCUUCAAACUUAGUCCAUCAAACAUCAAUACAUUUUCAUUAAUCAUUUCUCCUUUGGUCUCUAGCUACGAUGGGUUCAACCUCCAAUGGAGUUUCUUCUACCCAAAAAGUUGGAAAAUCGCUUGCGGCCUCUGCCGCAUACAGCCAUCGCAUGUGCCGCUCCGUUGGCUUCUUGCGUUUUUUAAUGAUGUUCCUUGAGUCCCUAUCGAUGCUAACAUCGCUAAUAUCCCAUUUCUUCAGCAAAAAUGGCUCUUUGGAGGCAUGCAUACACUUUAACGGUUGUCAAAUCUCUAAUGUUGUGGAUCGGGUAAGAACACGAACCUAUUACAAGCCCUGCAUGGUUUCUGAUGAUAAUUCCCAAAACUACCUUGUUGCUUUGUUGAAGAAACCCAAUAUCAAAAUUAACUUUAACUUGAGUUUUUGAUGGUGGCUCCCACUAGUGUCAUUUGUUGGACUUGUUUUACGAGGAUGUAGUCUUGGAAGAUGUGGCUUACAAACUCAUCUUCUUCUCCACAAAGUGGGCAUAAAGCAUCAUAUUUCAGUUUAUGGCCUUUUAAAUUACUUAAAGUAGGUAAGAAAUUAUUUGUAUUUAUCCAUAGAUUAAUUCGAACCUUGCUGGGAACUUUUAGACUCCAAUUUUUUGUAAAAUAACUUCUAAUUAGAUCCUAGUCUGUUAUAAUUUCAUUUCCCAUCAUAUUUAAAUCUUUUAAGACA